rnacentral:rRNA from 1 species
CCCUUAGAUGAUUUGGGCUGCACGCGCGCUACACUGAAGGAAUCAGCACGUCUUUCUCCUUGUCCGAAAGGACUGGGUAACCCGCUGAACCUCCUUCGUGCUAGGGAUUGGGGCUUGUAAUUCUUCCCCAUGAACGAGGAAUUCCCAGUAAGCGCGAGUCAUAAGCUCGCGUUGAUUACGUCCCUGCCCUUUGUACACACCGCCCGUCGCUACUACCGAUUGGAUGGUUUAGUGAGAUCCUCGGAUUGGUCCCGGAGCGGCCUCUGGUCGUGCCGGAGUGCCGAAAAGAAUGUCGAACUUGAUCAUCUAGAGGAAGUAAAAGUCGUAACA